UAAAAAUUACUUUUAUAUAUUACUGAUAAAUAAGUGCUUUGCUUCAUAUAUUGCUAAUUAUAUACAAUUAUAUUAUGUAUAAGUUAUAAAAAAUUAUAAGGUUAAGUUACUUAUUGAUGCAUUUUACAAUUAAAUGAUUUUACUGUGAUAAUUUAUGUAUAGAAAUGUAAUCGUGUUAACUUAAAAAAACAAUUGAAUCUUUGGUGUAAUUGAAAAAAGAUAGAACAGCGCAAAAAAAAGGCGGCGUUUCGUUUCGAAACCAUUAAAUAGAUUUGUCAAUGAUAGAAGUAUAAAUGAUGAUAUGAUUUCUUUUUUUUUUUUAAUGAAUUAAUAUUUAUUGUGAAAAAAAAAAUAAAAAAAUGUAGAAAAUAUAAGACAAAAAAAUUAAUAAAAAGGCUAGUGAUAAACAUGUAAAUAUAAUUUUGAUAUUUUUAUUGUGAACAUGGGAUAAAAUUUAAUUUCUAAAAUUUAUAUAAACUUGUGAGAAAAUUAAAGACAUCUAUCGGUGGCGGGCUAAACUAUUGGUGGAGUCAUACGUUUGUGGACGUGACAAAUUGUGUUAAAAUAUAUUAGGUUGUAAACGUUGCGAUUUAUUAAUACGAUACAUUAAAUUUUUUAAAAAUGAGUCGCAGAAGAGUUCAUGAAGAGGAAGAUGGAUAUGAACGAGCAUAUAAAAAACGUAGGAGAGUAUCAGAGAAUCAAGAAAUUGAAGACCGACUUGAAUCUCUUAUUUUGAGAGUAGGAGAAAAAUCUACAUCUUCUUUAGAAAGUAACUUAGAAGGUUUAGCUUCAGUGUUAGAAGCUGAUCUUGGACUCUUUCGUAGCAAAAUUCUUAGGAUUCUAACUGAAUGUGCAAUUAGAAUGCCAGAAAAAUGUACAAUUUAUACCACACUUGUUGGAUUACUAAAUGCAAAGAAUUUUAAUUUUGGUGGUGAAUUUGUUGAUUAUAUGGUGAAAAAUUUUAAAGAUGCAUUGAAAGCUUGUAAAUGGGAUGUAGCUAGAUAUUCAUUAAGAUUUUUAGCUGAUUUAGUAAACUGCCAUGUCUUAUCUUGUGGAUCUUUAAUGCAACUCUUUGAUAAUAUGUUAGAUGCUGCUAAUGAAGAUGGUGUUCCUCAAGUAAGACGUGAUUGGUAUGUCUAUGCUGUAUUAUCAACAUUACCUUGGGUAGGAAGAGAAUUAUAUGAAAAAAAAGAACAAGAGUUAGAUCAUUUAAUGGUAACAAUAGAGAUAUUUUUAAACAAAAGAAAUAAAAAACAUCAACCAGCCUUAAGAGUUUGGUCAAGUGAUACACCUCAUCCUCAAGAAGAAUAUUUAGAUUGUUUAUGGGCUCAAGUGAGAAAACUUAGACAGGACAAUUGGGCAGAGAAACAUAUUCCUAGACCAUAUCUAGCAUUUGAUUCAAUUUUAUGUGAAGCAUUACAGCAUAAUUUACCUACUAUAAUGCCACCACCACAUCAUGAAUCUUAUUCUUAUCCAUUACCUACAGUAGUAUUCCGCAUGUUUGAUUACACAGAUUGUCCAGCUGAAGGACCAUUAUUACCUGGAAGUCAUGCUAUAGAACGUUUUCUUAUAGAAGAACAUUUAAGACAAAUUAUCAAUAACUAUUUUUUUGAAAGAAAGGAUUGUGCAGCUCAAUUAUUGAAUUUUCCAUAUAAAGCAAAAAUACCAUUAGAUUAUUGUAUUGUUGAAGUAAUAUUUGGUGAACUAUUUAGAUUACCAGCACCAAAGCAUUUAGAAAUAUGCUAUGGAUCAAUUUUGAUUGAACUUUGUAAAUUACAACCAUCAACAAUGCCACAGGUUUUGGCUCAAGCGACGGAAAUUUUAUUCCGUCGUAUAGAUAGUAUGGCUGCAACUGCUUUCGAUCGUUUUGUAUGGUGGUUCGCAUAUCAUCUAAGCAAUUUUCAAUUUCGUUGGUCUUGGGAAGACUGGGAUUCUUGUUUACAACGUGAUCCAGAGCAUCCACGACCAAAAUUUAUUCGAGAAGUAUUAUUAAAAGCUUUACGAUUAUCAUAUUACCAAAGAAUACGGGAUAUGAUGCCUGAAUCAUAUGCUGAGCUAAUUCCUGCACCUCCAGAACCUAUUUAUAAAUAUACUUCUGAAGGUGCCAGUUCACUUCCAGGUACAGCAGCAGCUCAUGAAUUAGUUGUUUCGAUUAGACGUAAAUGUACACCGGAAGAAGUACUUAAUGUGUUAAAUACAUUACCAGGUCCUAGAGAAAAUGAAGAAACAAAUAAUUUCAAUCCUUUAAAGAUUGAUGUUUUUGUACAGACAUUAUUAAAUUUAGGUUCGAAAAGUUUUAGCCAUAGUUUCGCUGCAAUAGGAAAAUUUCAUUAUGUUUUUCAAGUUCUUGCAGAAACUGAAGAAGCUCAAAUAUGUAUUUUGAGAAAUAUGUAUGCAUUAUGGAAGAAUCAUUAUCAAAUGAUGGUGGUUUUAACUGAUAAAUUUUUGAAAACUGGAAUAAUCGAAUGCAGUGCCAUUGCCAAUUGGAUAUUUUCUAAAGAGAUGGUGUCAGAAUUUACCAAAUUAUAUAUUUGGGAAAUUCUUCACUUAACAAUUCGAAAAAAGAACAAACAUGUAACAAAAUUAAGCACAGAAUUAGCGGAAGCUCGUGAAAAAUUGAGAAGAGCAGAAAGUAGAUCAGGUUCAUCAUCAGAAGAUGAAGAUAAUAACAAAGAUAGAAGUAGAGAAAAACCAUCAGAAGAUGUAGUGGAAAGAAUGGAAGAAAAGUUGGAAACAGCGCAAGCAGAUCAGAAAAAUUUGUUUCUUAUCAUUUUUCAGCGUUUUAUAAUGAUUCUUUCGGAACACCUUGGACGAUGUGAUACUGAUGGAAUAGACUACAAUACUCAUUGGUACAAAUGGACCAUAGGUAGAUUACAGCAAGUAUUUUUAACUCAUCAUGAACAAGUUCAAAAAUAUUCAUCAACAUUAGAGACUUUACUUUUUACACCAGAUCUGGAUCCUCAUAUCUUAGAUGUUUUCCACCAAUUCGUUUCUUUACGAGCAUGAACAUCAUCUUCUAUGAUAAAUUACAAUAAGAGAUUCUUACUGCUAAAAAUGUUUGCAUAGAUAAGAAAAAAUAUACCAGGUUACUUUGCACCUAAAUUAAUUAAUCUAUAAUUAAUUAAAAUCCAAAAAUAAAAAAAUAAAAAACUAAUGAAAUAUAAAAUAUUUUUACACUGAGAUAUGCACUUCUUCGCUAUGAUUCAAUAAUCUUUGCCCAGGGAGACAAAGAAAAAAUAUGUGAACAGCUUGUGCAAACGUAAACGAUCCAAAUCUCAUCAUUUCGCUUAAAUUACCUAAUUUUAUUACAGUCUAAAAGUAAAAAAGUAUUUAUAUAUUUAAGUCAAAAAUAAGCUGUUUAAUUAAUUAUAUGAAUACUUACUUCAACUCCUGUAAUGCUAAGACAAAGAACAUUAAAGAAUAACUGAACAAGUAUGGAUUUAGUAAAUAGUGAUUCAAGAAGAUUUGAAUAUCUAUGAAAAAUGGAAUAUAUUAAUGCUUUUUAU
rnacentral:misc_RNA from 1 species